AAUAAUAUAAUAAUAUAAUAUUAAAAUAAUAUUAUUUUAUUAUUUUAUUAUUAUUAAUUUAAUAUUUGCAUUAUUUUAAAAAAAAUGUUUUUUUGUCCCCCCUCCCUGGCCAGGCAACAAGCAGGGAGGGGGGACAAAAAAAUUUUAAAAAUAAUAAUGCAAAUCUUAAAAUAAUAAUAUAAUAAUAAAAAAAUAUAAUAUUAAAAUAAUAUAAUAUUAUUUUAUUAUUAUUAAAAUAAAAUAAUACUGAAUCCCUGGUGGUCUAGUGGCAUUGGCAGUUCAGUGGGGGGCUGACAGGGAGCUCUUACUUACCUUCCUGCAGCUCCCUCCUCCUCCGUGCAGCUCCUCGUACACUGUGAGCAGAACGGAGCUGACCGGGGAGCUGCAUGGAGGAGGAGGGAUCUGACAGGAGCUGCAGGAAGGUAAGUAACCGCUCACUGCCAGCCCCUAACAGGACCGCCGGGCUUGUAAUGAGCCCGGCGGUCCUGGUCUGUAUUGUGGCAAGGUAAAUUGCCACAAUACAGACAUUGACUCGAGUAUAAGCCGAGUUGGGGUUUUUCAGCACAAAAAAUGUGCUGAAAAACUUGGCUUAUACUCGAGUAUAUACGGUAAUUCAAAAGUGGAUCACAUCAUGUAUAUCAAAUCAGUAUCAAUCUAAAUACAGUGCCAAAAAUAUAAAAUGGAUCGAGCACUCUUAUAAAGUGCAACAGAAAUCUCAAACUUCAAAAGUAUAAGGGAUAACAAUAUUAAAGUGCAAAAGUGCUUCUCACAUAAAAUAAGUAUGUUAUGUAUAUUUUAAAAAACAUUAAAACUGUCUUAAUACAAGUGUAACUUUUAUUAAAAACUCAUCUAAUAUUUUCAAUUUAUGUGCAAAAAUAAAGCAAUGUCAAAACACUUCAAAAUUGGAUAUUCCCGACAAAUGGAUAUAGUAGCUUUGUGUACAGUCUUCUUAAUCUACAAACGCCUCAAACAGGAAAGUAAAUAACAUACUAAAAUGUAACUAGACCGAAUUAUACAAUAUGGGGGAAAUUAAUACAAAAUAUAUAAUCUUUUGGUAGGCUAACAUUUAAAGGUAAAAGCAUUUGCAUUUAUUCAGGGUAACUCCUCCCCUCUUGUUAUUGAUAUGUGUCAGGCUUUUUCUUUCGACCAGUUAUGGUUAAAAUAAUGUUAGAAGAAAAAAAAAGGAACAGAAACAAGAUGAGAACAGUGGGUACAAAAGUAGGCCCUGUUCGGCGCAUUGGUGUUUAUAUUGAAGGCAACAUCAAACUUCUGAAAUACAGCUCCCACAAUCUCUUCUAAAUGAAGCUAGUAUUAUUAAGUACAUUAUUCCAAUAUAUAAAUCCCUUUCAUUGAAUAAAACAAAAAGCUAUCUUAAAUAAAAACUUUAAAAUACAAUUAAACAAUGC